GACAGAAGAUGGCGGAUGAGCAGCAUGCAGGGUUUUCUCCCUAUGGCUCACUCUCUCUUACUGUGCUGGGCGGUUGCUUCCUCUCCUGCUGCCCUUGGGAGUCAGACUCCAGGUUCUUCAGCCUGCGGCCCCUGGGGCUCUCGGGCCUUGGAGGACUGACUAGGAGCACACAAUGUGGGCCUCUCUGGUUUGGGGGCCUGGGACGUGGCGGAGCCCUGCAGCUUCUGUGCGGCCUGUUCUGGGCGUCGCGGUGAAACGCCAGCCAGUUCCUCAAGUAAGCUCCCUGCACACACGCCUGAUAGCCUGUUGCUUCCGUCCUUCUGCGGGAUUUUCACUACCGCUCUCUAACUCACACACAGCAGAAAGAGCAUACGGGAGAGAUGAAGCAGUCCACUCCAAGAACAUUCUCAUCCUGCGGAUUACGAGUCCCCCUGGGAUUACAAGAGUGUUGAAGAAAUGUUGUGACACAUCAGAACACCGCGAAAUACAUGGACACUUUCAAAUCAUGGAAGACUCUCAAGAGGAAACUUUAAUUAGAAGGAAACAGGAAUAUUCAAUGGACUCCCAAGACAAGAAUACAGAUGUAUAUCAGAAGCUGAGCACUGAAGUUGCUACUAGAGUCUCCCCGAGCCCUUAUUGGAUUCUCACUUCAGGAGCUGCUUUCAUUAUUUUGCCUCUCAGUUUCAAAAUAGACAAAGAACUCAACACUCAACAAUAAGAAAAUGAACAACUUGGUUGAAAAAUGGGCCAAAGACCUUAACAGACACCUCACCAAAGAUGAUAGACAGGUAGGAAAUAAACAUAUAAAAAGAUGCUGCACGUCAGAUGUCAUCAGAAAAGUGCAAUUAAAACAACAAUGAGACACCACUAUGCAUCUCCUAGAAUGACCAAAACCCAGAACACUGACACCAAAUACUCUUGAGGAUGUGGAGCAAUUCUCAUUGCUGAUGGGAAUGCAAAAUGGUACAGUCUUUUGGAAGACAGCUUGGAGAUUUCUUAUAAAGCUAAACUUGGAUUUACCAUACCAUCUACCAGCGGUGCUCCUUGGUAUUUACCCAGUGGAGCUGAAAAUGUAUGUCCCCACAGAAAAACAGGCACGUGGACGCUUACGGAAGUUUUACACAUAAUUUCCAAGACUUGGAAGCAACCAAGAUGUCCUUCAGUCAGUGAAUGGAAGAAUAAACUGUGGAACAUCCAGACCAUGGAAUAUUAUUCAGCGCUGAAUAGAAAUGAGCUAAGAAAGCCAUAAAAAGACAUGGAGGAAAAAAUGUUCAACACCAAGACUGAACCCUAAUGUAACCUGUGGACUUUGGAUGAUAAUGAUGCAUCAAUACAAGUCAUAAAUUUGGAAAAAUGUACCUCUCCUGGGAAGGAGUUGAUAAUGAAGUCAGGAGGGCAUCUUUCUCGGCUCUUCACUGUGAGAACCUUGUGGGAUUCCUGAAGAUGAAACCAUGAACGCGUGGGAGUCUUGCUAAAACUGCAGCAUUCGAGAGGUUUUCACUCAUGCUGGCUCACACUUAUCCUCUAGCAAUUCAUCAAAAUUACCAUGACAAAGAAGAGACAUGCAAGUACGACAGAAAAUACUACACACUACCCAGAGAUUGAAACUGAAGGUGUGAACAACAGAGAAAAGAGAGGGUAAAGAAAAGGAAAACAAAGAAGACGUGGGAUAUGAAAGGUGUAUGCCAUGUGUGGACAUCAAGAAAUGUUUCAGCUCCCACUUCUGCCACCAAUUGAGCCUGGAACCUCACUACUUGGAGUUGGGGGGAGGGCAGUGCUCAUUCAUCAUCUGUGAAAAUAGGGAUUGAGAGUUCCCUAACUUUGCCAUUUUUCCUCAAGCACUGACAUUGGUUUUCUGAAUGUCAGGCUCUGUAUAAGUGAGUCCUCAGCUGAGCCACAGGCUCUGCAUUCCUGGCAGUCCACACACUUCAUAUCCUUUGUUUAUGCUGCUCAUUUUGGAAUUCAAACAGGUUGGUGGGGCACAUUUCAACAGAUAAUAACACACACUGACUGCUCAUGAGCUAUUUUAUGGUGUGAGAAUGUUGUGAUGUUAUGAAAUACGGAGGCAUUAAAACAUGCGGACAUUUUCUAGAAGAUCCUUAGCAGAGAGUACAGAAGACUAAGGUCCAAAUCUCUGAAAUGAUGUUUUCCAAAUUAUUGCACAGCUAUGUCAAACAAAGUACUUGAUCCAGUUAAUGUUAACAAAUAAAACAUUAACAAGUUAAUUAACAUUAACUUGAUCCACUUAAUGUUAACAAAUAAAAAACUAUGAAAUGUUAUUUUCUAGGUAUGGGUAGUAGUGGAUAGUAGUAGAUCUGUUGUGUAGUGGAGAUUGCUUAGGAAGAAUAAAUUUCAACUUUACCAAGAAAGUACUAGAUUAAUUGCAUUAGGAAAUUGUGAAUUGCAUUAGGAAAUGCUCAUUCUUCUUUCAAUAGCCAAUAUCUGGAUACUAUACUCUCUUGAAUUUCUAAGAUUUGCAUCCGUUAUUCUAUAAUUAGCUUUCCAGUUUAUUGAAUGAUUUAAUUUACAUACAAAUAUUUUCUAAUAUAUUCCCUGUAAAAUAAUUUUAAAAAUUAAACAUUUCUCUAAUUACACAUUCCUCCCUAGCUGAUACAAUUUCAUGUAUUUGCUUACUUUCCCAGCCGGACAUUCAGAAAUUUUUUACUCAUAUUGUCUUCAAUUGCAUAUUUGCCGUUUUCUAGCUUUUAUUUUAUUUUUAUAUCCAUUUUGUUCUAGGUGUGGAAAUUGCUAAGUGUAGAGCUUAAUAAUAUUUCACCAAAAAGAUAUGUGUCUAACUCCCUCAUGAAGAAGUAGUAUGUUACCAACACUCCCAAAUUUCCUUUGAUGUCAAAAAGCAUCAUUUUUCUCGAGAGUCUUUUUUUGUAUUGGUAUGAUAUAUAAACGAAAUCAUAUACACAUUUAUUUUUUCAUUUAGAUACUUUCCUUCAGUAUUAUGAUUGAGACAUUAACCUCAGUUUAAGUAUUUAUGUCAUUUUCAUUGCUAGUUCAUUGUAAGAAGCACACCUUUUAUUUAUCUAUUCCCUUAAUACAUAUUCCUGUUUCCAGUGUUAGAUUAAUGCAAAUAAGGCUGUAGUGAGCAUUCUUUUACAUGUUUUUCAGUGUACAAAUAUAUGCUGAGAGAGGAAUUACUGAAUCACAGAAAGUAGUAUAUGCAGCUAUAAUAGAUAUUACCAUAUCCACCAAACGUUUAGUAUUUCCUGUUUCAUUUUAUUCACUCUGGGGGAUGUAUAGAGAUUUCACAUUACAUUAUAAUUUAAUUUCUCUAAUGUCUAAUGAUGGGGAGCACCUUUUUCAUGUUUUUAUUGUCAGUUUGGCUAUCUUCUUUUUCUAAAUGCAUGUUCAAGUAUUUCAUCCAUUUUUAUUGGUCUUUUUUUACUGGUUUAAUUGAAUUCUUUAUAUAUUAUGGAUAUGAGCUCUUUGUCAAUUUUAUAUGUAUGCUUAUAUUCACUCCUACUUCACUCUGCAGCUUGCUUUUUAUUUUUAUGCUUUUAAUAAUGAACAUAAUUUCUUGAUUUUAAUAAAUAUCAUUAUUUUU
rnacentral:lncRNA from 1 species